UGCCAGUCAAAUUCAGCUUUUCAUGGUGGAGCUGGCCCAGAUGGGUGCCACAGCAAUCUCUGCUGUUCAUGGGCCUGUGUCCCUGCAUUGGGGACAUUUAUAACUAAUAACAUUU